rnacentral:miRNA from 1 species
AUCUAAAUUCCAAACUUUGUUGGGUAAUGGGAACCUGGCAGUCAUCAAUUUUCAUCACCAGACAAAGUUUGGGCUUUAAA